CAAGAUCGAAUUCAAGAGGACAACUCAUCGUGGAAAUGCUGAUGGGUGGAUUGUUCUGUUUUCUCUUAUAAAAUGAAAUACCUGAACAAUUUACAAAAGAGGAUGCUCCUCUUGACAUAUUCUGUCUAAUGCAAAUUGAAAGUCUCCCUAUUAUGGCAGAGAUGAUCCAAAGGGAAACAGACAAGGACCCUAUUCUGUCUCAGGUCUCCAUGGCCACUCAAAAUGACUGGCACGUGCAGCAGAAAUCCCAGCAUUGGGACAAACUUGCCCUUGACAGAGGUUGCUUUAUGUGAGGAUUGACCAUCGGAGCUGCAUGCUGGAGUGUUGGAGGAGCUACAUGCUGGUCACCUAGGUAAGAACCACAACCACAAGACUCACCUGACAAGCAGAGUGACCUCGCUGGUUAGGAGACCCUACACAGCAAUUACAUCUUCAGGCCUGAGUAAAAGUACGUGAAUAGCAUACAGUAUAUCACCUCACCACGUGAUAUGUGAAUGCCUCACUAAAAGUAAAAAACG